UACGUAGGGGGCAAGCGUUGUCCGGAUUUAUUGGGCGUAAAGAGCGUGUAGGCGGCCAUGCAGGUCAGCUGUGAAAACUCAAGGCUCAACCUUGAGACGGCGGUUGAAACCGUAUGGCUAGAGUCCGGAAGAGGAGAGUGGAAUUCCCGGUGUAGCGGUGAAAUGCGCAGAUAUCGGGAAGAACACCCAUGGCGAAGGCAGCUCUCUGGGACGGUACUGACGCUGAGACGCGAAAGCGUGGGGAGCAAACAGG
rnacentral:rRNA from 1 species